GCGGGAGUAGCCAAGCCUGGUCAAAGGCGGCGGACUUAAGAUCCGCUCUCGUAGGAGUCCGCGAGUCCGAACCUCGCCUCCCGCA
rnacentral:tRNA from 1 species